rnacentral:rRNA from 1 species
UGAGUCGAUCCUAAGCCAACUGUGAAAGCAGUGACAUCCCGACAAAGGGGCAUUACGUGCGCUGCACUUACACCCCCACGGCAAAGCUCUGAGAUAUAUAUAUAUCUCUCUCUCUCUGACGAUAAAGGUGUCUGGUACGGAAUAUGCGCACGCACGGUGAUCACUACAAAUACGUGUGUGAGUGUGUGCGCUUGUAUGGUUACGCUCAUAAGCGUUGUUGCUCUCUGGUAAAAGGAUAAAGCAUAAGAGAGAGAGAGAGAGACACACACAGAGUGUGGGUGAGCGUGAGUUUGCUCUCGCAUGAGCCCCCUGCGUCUGGUUCUAUGUCUGGCGAAAGGGAAUGGGGACUUUGUUCCUUGACCGGUCCCGGCACCCUCGAUUGGCUUUGCCAAUUAAUGGUCCAUGCAAAUGGAACCAGGCCACAGCCGCUGGCAGUCGCCCGAGGAA